UAGAACUAAAUACACAAAAUGUCGAAUGAUAGGGUAACGCCUUGAAAGGCAUCCUUAAUACUCCGACUUGCAUUGAAGUUAGUAGAAACGGAAAUGUAAGAAGCUCGGUGAAGUCGGCAGAGAGACAUCGUAACAGCUAGGCUGUCGAAAGUCUUCCAGAGGUGGAAGAUAUGUCCUAUAUGCCGGAGGUCUAUAAA
rnacentral:ncRNA from 1 species